GCAUUGCUGAGGAGUCCCACAAUAGGACGAAUCAGCUGUCCCAUGC
rnacentral:hammerhead_ribozyme from 1 species